AUUUCCGGUUGAUCCCGCCGGACCCCACUGCUAUCGAGGUGGGACUAAGCCAUGCCAGUCGAACGACCCGGACUAUGGCGGGGAGUGGCAGACUGCUCAGUAACACGUAGCUAACCUACCCUCGGGACGGGGAUAACCCCGGGAAACUGGGGCUAAUACCCGAUAGGUAUGGAUUCCUGGAAUGGUGCCAUGCCUAAACGUAAGCACAUCCAUGUUUGUGUGCACGCCCGAGGAUGGGGCUGCGGCCGAUCAGGCAGUUGGUGAGGUAACGGCUCACCAAACCUUUGACCGGUACGGGCCAUGAGAGUGGUAGCCCGGAGAUGGGCACUGAGACAAGGGCCCAGGCCCUACGGGGCGCAGCAGGCGCGAAACCUCCACAAUUCACGCAAGUGAGAUGGGGUUACCUCGAGUGCCAUCUGAAGAAGGUGGCUUUUCCAUGGUGUAAUGAGCCGUGGGAAUAAGGGGGGGGCAAGACUGGUGUCAGCCGCCGCGGUAACACCAGCCCCCCGAGUGGUGGGGAUGAUUAUUUGGCCUAAAGCGUCCGUAGCCAGCUCGGUAAAUCUCUCGUUAAAUCCAGCGUCCUAAGCGUUGGGCUGCGAGGGAAACUGCCGAACUAGAGGGUGGGAGAGGUCAGCGGUAUUCCUGGGGUAGGGGCGAAAUCCAUUGAUCCCAGGAGGACCACCAGUGGCGAAGGCUGCUGACUAGAACACGCCUGACGGUGAGGGACGAAAGCUGGGGUAGCGAAUCGGAUUAGAUACCCGAGUAGUCCCAGCCGUAAACGAUGCAGGCUAGGUGUUGGGUCGGCCAUGCGCCGCCUCAGUGCCACAGGGAAGCCAUUAAGCCUGCCGCCUGGGGAGUACGGCCGCAAGGCUGAAACUUAAAGGAAUUGGCGGGGGAGCACCACCAGGCGUGAAGCCUGCGGUUUAAUUGGAUUCAACGCCGGG
rnacentral:rRNA from 1 species